GAGCCCUUGUGAGCGAGGGGACAACAGGAAGAUGGAGGGAAAGAGCUCUGGCCUUGAGGGCCAAAGAGGACCAACUGAAGGCAAGUCACUCUCCUCAACACAGGGUCUUCCCUUCCAGCUCUGAGAAUUCAUCACUCUCCAGAACCUCUGAUUCCUUAACAGCAAAAUUGCCCCACACCUAGGAUGUUAUCAGAAGACCAGGCAGCCGACAACAUUUUAUAAACUGGACUGGGCCAGCUGAUGCUCAGAAUGUCGUCUCCACCCCAGCCCAGCUGGCAACGGCCCCACCUUGAGUGGUCAACAGCAGAGCUAUGCUCACUGCUUCCCAGAGCCCACAACCAAGGACUAACUGCUGUUCAAUCUGGAUCCUUAAAGAAUCGUCAAAGAGAACUUUCCUGCCAGCUUCAUGUGCUGUUUCAGCUGUACUUUGUGCACCUAAUGCUGCUUCUCACAGAAUUACCCUCCGCUGUCCAGAGUCUCCACAGCUAUCUCAGAGAUGAAAGGCUUUGUGACCUGUGCUACCUGUUGUCAACUACCACAGCCAGAUUCCAGGACUUGCAGGAGCAGCAAGAGUGCCAGCACCAAAGAGCAGAGACUCCUGGAGGCCAUGCCAAGUGGACUCCUGAUGGGCAACACGGACACUCGAUAUGAAAGUAAAGAUCUGAUUGGCAUCCUCUUCUUGACGUGCUGUAUGUUCUGGAUAACAGUCCAGAAGCAAAACUACAAAACUGCUUUCAUUCAGAUUAACCAGUUAAAUGUAAUGGAUGAUGCUGUUUUGCUAAACUAAAACAUUGAUGUUGGUUUAAUAACAGAAAAAUGUAUUUGUGAGGUUGUUUGGACUUUUUUUCUUGUUGGCCUAUUUUAUUUUUGUUUUUGAGCAUGGUGAGUCAUUGCUGUUUUUUCAUUUAACCAUGAUCUGUUAUUCUAAUGAACGAAUCAAUAAAUUGUGCAGUCUAAAACA
rnacentral:lncRNA from 1 species